AGUCGUGUGUACAUCAUUGGGAAUGGAGGGAAAUAAAUGACUGGAUGGUCGCUGCUUUUUAAGUUUCAAAUUGACAUUCCAGACAAGCGGUGCCUGAGCCCGUGCCUGUCUUCAGAUCUUCACAGCACAGUUCCUGGGAAGGUGGAGCCACCAGCCUCUCCCUGACAAGCAAAGUGGAUCAGCAAAGGCUGCAGUCACCAGCAUCUUUUCCAACCUUAAUGAACUGUAUCCUCAAAAGAACACUAUCAGACUGGCUCUGCCGACUUCCAGUUCUGGAACAAGAUGGUUAAACUCAUUUUUCCCUGCUCUGCUCCUCUAAAUACAACUAAGUACCUUGGAAACUAUUCAGCAGACAAUGAUAAAGGGCUCUGAAAGCUAGAAGAAAAGGUGUACUUGCAAGAAACCUCAGGACUUGAGUAACAGCAACAUGGCAGGCCAGAAAGCAGACCCAGGGAGGAUAGCACAUGUCUUCGGCUACACUGGUGAAGGCAUCGUGCCUGCUCCACAGCACAUUUUUAUUCAAGAUGUGUACCAUGUGAUGGCCAAGGGAGCUUCAUCAAUCAUGGCAUCUCAAGGGAGCUGGAGCAGAUGAGGAGGAGAUGGAGGUCCCAGGAAGGGCUGUGAUCUGCCUGGGGUCCCACAAUGGGAAACAGAACAAUCCAUUUCACAGAUGAAGAAACAGACUCAGUGAGCACGUGAUCACUUCUCACAACUAAUGGAGCCAAGAUUCUGUCCUUAUGGCUCCAGAGACCUCUUUUUUUUCCCACUGUACCACAACACUCACCAGGACUGGAGUGCCACCUAUGACCUCAUUGCAUAAUGGAUGGCUUGUCCUCAAAUGGGCCCGGUCUUGGACGAGCCUGAGGAUGUCUACAAGUGGAAGAAAAGAAGCCACUGGAGCAGAAGGUGGGGAGGAUAAAAUUUGGAGCAAGAUUCUCAAGGAAGCAACAAGAUCCUAAGAUCUUGUUCUCACUAGAGAAUAAUUUCUACAUUAUGCCCAGGUUCUUCUGAGCUAUGAAGGGGCCCAGAUUUAAGGGCUAUUUUUGACACCCUAAAUGUGCUGAGACAAGUCAUUAAGGUGGUCCUGCCAGGACACAGCCAUCUAAAGCAGCAAUCUGCUUCUUGCCAGAAAAUCUCGUGCCUCUGCAGAGCCUUUUCCAGAAUGAACCACACCAUGCUGAGGAAAGGAGAAAGAGACUACCUACUGCAUUUCUGUCACUCGCUGAAAAGGACACUCUGUCAGAAAAUCUUCUAGCAAACUUCAAAGGGCAAAAUCACCCCUUGUUACUGAUAAAGCCCAGAGAGCUUCAGCAGCUAACAUUCCCUGGACAGGGCACAGCAAGGAUUUGAACCUAGGUCAGUCUGGCCAGAACACCCACAAGCUUUCCUUAACUCAGUGUGCUAUCUCCCCACGACUAGGUCACUACUGCUUUAUAAUCACCUUUGUAGCCACCAGUGGAUUUUGCUCAUCAGUAUUUUUCAGGCAAUUGAUACUUUAGAUAUUCAGCUGCAAGACGUAU
rnacentral:lncRNA from 1 species